AACGCGAAGAACCUUACCUACUCUUGACAUCCAGCGAACUUAGCAGAGAUGCUUUGGUGCCUUCGGGAACGCUGAGACAGGUGCUGCAUGGCUGUCGUCAGCUCGUGUUGUGAAAUGUUGGGUUAAGUCCCGCAAUGAGCGCAACCCUUAUCCUUUGUUGCCAGCGAUUCGGUCGGGAACUCAAAGGAGACUGCCGGUGAUAAACCGGAGGAAGGUGGGGAUGACGUCAAGUCAUCAUGGCCCUUACGAGUAGGGCUACACACGUGCUACAAUGGCGCAUACAAAGAGAAGCGACCUCGCGAGAGCAAGCGGACCUCACAAAGUGCGUCGUAGUCCGGAUCGGAGUCUGCAACUCGACUCCGUGAAGUCGGAAUCGCUAGUAAUCGUGAAUCAGAAUGCCACGGUGAAUACGUUCCCGGGUCUUGUACACACGC
rnacentral:rRNA from 1 species